rnacentral:lncRNA from 1 species
GUGAGUGCAUCGAGCUCGUUUACAUGCCUCCGUGAGUUAUAAUUUCAGCAUGUCCCAGUUUUCACUAAGUCUGAAAACUGAUUGUGUUUCAUCGAUGUUCGUGUGCUUGUUAGAGUAUUUUGUGAACCCUUUUGGCCCCAGGUCAUUUUGGGUGUUUUGUUAAGCUUGUUGAGUAGCUCCAUGCCAUGCUCUUACUUGUCAUGUUCAGGUUAUGUUUCAUGUUGUUUUGCUGCUCCGAAGGGAGCAUCGUGGUCUGAAAUUUCAGACUAGCGUUAAUUUCGCUAAGUCUGAAAUCUGUUUUGCUUAUUCAGUUUUGCCAUGCUUGUUUGAACCCCUUAAUGGAUGAAUUUGCCUAUGCCUCAGUCCUGGUGAUUUGUUAAGCUUCUUGUGUACAUCCCUGCCAUGCAAUUUGUUUUCAUGUUUGGUGGCUGUAGCAUGUUCAUUUCGUUCCAUUUAGGAGCCUACUUGCUGUUAAUCGCAGAUCGGUUCGUUUCGUAAAACGCUUGCCAUUUCCAAACCGUAGCUCCGAUUCCUUUGAUCUUUAUAUCGUUUUCAGGGGAUUUCUUCCCCUCUAUCCAGUGGCACACUUGGUUUUCCCAGUUGAGGCCAGGUUCAUGCAUUUCCGGUCACGUCUUGCAUUUUGCAUCCCGCAUCGUAUCCCGCAUAGCAUACCAUCUUUGCAUAUUAUUGGUUGCCCUUGCACGUGGUUGAUUGUAUCCUUGUUGCUUGUUUGUCUUGUUGGGUAGAGCCGGGAGACAAGUUCGCUAACGAGGAGCCUGUUGAGUUUGCUUUUGAGGAUCCAGUCAACUCUGACAACUGUGAAGGCAAGAUGAUCAUACCCUCGAAAUCACUACUAUCUUUGCUAUGCUAGUUUGCUCGCUCUUUUGCUUUGCCAUUGCUACGAUGCCUACCACUUGCUUGUCAGCCUCCCAAUUGCCAUGAUUGAGCCUCUAACCCACCUUUGUCCUAGCAAACCGUUGAUUGGCUAUGUUACCGCUUUGCUCGGCCCCUUCUUAUAGCGUUGCUAGUUGCAGGUGAAGAUUGGAGCCGUUCCUUGUUGGGACAUUUAAUUACUUGUUGGGAUAUCAUUAUAUUGCUAUGUUAUCUUAAUUCAUCUAUAUACUUGGUAAAGGGUGGAAGGCUCGGCCUCUCGCCUAGUGUUUUGUUCCACUCUUGCCGCCCUAGUUUCCGUCAUAUCGGUGUUUGUUCCCGGAUUGUUGCGUCCCUUACGCGGUUGGGCUAUAUGGGAACCCCUUGAUAGUUCGCCUUGAUUAAAGCUUUUCCAGCAAUGCCCAACAUUGGUUUUACCAUUUGCCACCUAGCCUCUUUUUCCCUUGGGUUUCCGGAGCCCGAGGGUCAUCUUAUUUUAACCCCCCCGGGCCAGUGCUCCUCUGAGUGUUGGUCCCACCGAGCGAUGUCCGGGGCUACCAGGGGCAACUCUGGGCUGGCCUACUCGACGUCUGGCUCAUCUGGGUGUGCCCUGAGAACGAGAUAUGUGCAGCUCCUAUCGGGAUUUGUCGGCUCAUUCGGGCGGUGUUGCUGGACUUGUUUUAACCUGUCGAAUCAUCUUGUUGUACCGGGAUACCGAGUCUGAUCGGUGUGUCUUGGGUGGAGGUCUAUUCCUUCGUUGACCGUGAGAGCUUGUUAUGGGCUAAGUUGGGACCCCCCUGCAGGGAUUGAUCUUUCGAAAGCCGUGCCCGCGGUUAUGGGCAGAUGGGAAUUUGUUAAUGUCCGGUUGUAGAUAACUUGAACCUUAAUUAAUUAAAAUGAAUCAACUGAGUGUGUUGCCGUGAUGGCCUCUUCUCGGCGGAGUCCGGGAAGUGGACAUGUUGUUGGAGUUAUGUUUGCGCAGGUUGCUUUCUAGUUCCUCGCUCGCGCUUUGCCUCCUCUUCUCGCUCUCUUUUGCGAAUAAGAUAGCCACCAUAUAUGCUAGUCGCUUGCUGCAGCUCCACUUAUACAUUACCCCUUUCCUACCCAUUAAGCUUAAAUAGUCUUGAUCGCGAGGGUGCGAGAUUGUUGAGUCCCUGUGGCUCACAGAUUACUAUUACACCAGAUGCAGGGACAGAUGAUUCAGCUCCAGAUGGCGCGCUCGAGCUCAAGUGGGAGUACGACGAGGACUCUCAGCGUUACUAUGUGUCUUUUCCUGAUGAUCAGUAGUGGUGCCUAUUCGGGGUUAGAUUCAGGGCCUUGUCGCUUGUUGGGGGUCUUUUCUAUUUUGGCGCCGUAGUCGGGCCAUGAGUGAUUGUAUGAUGGAUGUUAUUUAUGCACUUUGAUGUGACGUGGCGAGUGUAAGCCAACUAUGUUAUUCCCCUUUAUAUUAUUUAUGUACAUGGGAUGUGUAAUGAUUUCCCGACUUGCGACAUAUGCCUUCAAUGCGAUUAUGCCUCUAAGUCGUGCCUCGACACGUGGGAGAUAUAGUCGCAUCGAGGGUGUUACACUAAGUCCCCGAGUGGGAGGUUUGCUCUCCACUCGGUAGGAUUUCUUAAACACUUAGGCGAGUGCUGACUGCAGCUAAGUCUCUCUGUGGAAGAACUUAGGCGAGUACUGGACUGCAGCUAAGCCCCCGAGUGGGAGGAUUGCUCUCCACUCGGUAGGAUUUUUUCAAACUUAGGCGAGUGCUCGACUGCAGCUAAGCUUCCGAGUGGGAGAACUUAGGCAAGUACUGGACUGCAGCUAAGCCACCGAGUGGGAGGGUUGCUCUCUACUCGGUAGGAUUUUUUCAAACUUAGGCGAGUGCUCGACUGCAGCUAAGCUUCUGAGUGGGAGAACUUAGGCGAGUACUGGACUGCAGCUAAGCCCCCGAGUGGGAGGAUUGCUCUCUACUCGGUANNNNNNNNNNNNNNNNNNNNNNNNNNNNNNNNNNNNNNNNNNNNNNNNNNNNNNNNNNNNNNNNNNNNNNNNNNNNNNNNNNNNNNNNNNNNNNNNNNNNNNNNNNNNNNNNNNNNNNNNNNNNNNNNNNNNNNNNNNNNNNNNNNNNNNNNNNNNNNNNNNNNNNNNNNNNNNNNNNNNNNNNNNNNNNNNNNNNNNNNNNNNNNNNNNNNNNNNNNNNNNNNNNNNNNNNNNNNNNNNNNNNNNNNNNNNNNNNNNNNNNNNNNNNNNNNNNNNNNNNNNNNNNNNNNNNNNNNNNNNNNNNNNNNNNNNNNNNNNNNNNNNNNNNNNNNNNNNNNNAGCUAAGCCCCCGAGUGGGAGGUUUGCUCUCCACUCGGUAGGAUUUCUUAGACACUUAGGCGAGUGCUGACUGCAGCUAAGUCUCUCUGUGGAAGAACUUAGGCGAGUACUGGACAACAGCUAAGCCCCCGAGUGGGAGGAUUGCUCUCCACUCGGUAGGAUUUUUUCAAACUUAGGCGAGUGCUUGACUGCAGCUAAGCUUCCGAGUGAGAGAACUUAGGCAAGUACUGGAUUACAGCUAAGCCCCCGAGUGGGAGGUUUGCUCUCCACUCGGUAGGAUUUUUUCAAACUUAGGCGAGUGCUCGACUGCAGCUAAGCUUCCUAGUGGGAGAACUUAGGCGAGUGCUGGACUGCAGCUAAGCCCCCGAGUGGGAGGUUUGCUCUCCACUCGGUAGGAUUUUUUCAAACUUAGGCGAAACGGAUUCGCAGCCAAGUCACCCACUGGGGGGUUUUGUUUGCAAACAAAGUGACAGCAAUUAUUGGAACACUCUUGUCUUUGAUAAAAAUGAACUGUAGAAUUUUUUUUCUUAUUACAUCUCGUCUAAGGGAGAACUCAGGUGUAAAAGGGGCGGAGCAGUUCCGCGUUCCAAGCUCGUGGCUCGUCGAUCUGGCGAUCAACAUUGUAGAGGUGGUAUGCUCCAUUGUGGAGGACUCUGGUGACUAUGAAGGGGCCUUCCCAAGUAGGAGCGAGCUUGUGCGGUUUCUGUUGAUCCACUCGGAGGACCAGAUCUCCUUCUUGGAAGGCUCGACUUUUCACAUUCCGGGCGUGAAAACGGCGCAAGUCUUGCUGAUAAAUGGUCGAUCUGAUCAUGGCCAUCUCCCUCUCUUCUUCUAAGAGGUCGACUGCGUCUUGCCGGGCCUGUUCUACUUCAUCUUUGGUGUAAAGUUCGACUCGGGGUGCAUUAUGAAGAAGAUCACUCGGCAGGACUGCUUCGGCUCCAUAAACCAGAAAGAAUGUAGUUCUUCCAGUCGACCGGUUAGGGGUGGUCCUUAAUCCCCACAGAACUGACGGAAGCUCGUCGACCCAAGCGCCUGCCGCGUGCUUGAGAUCACGCAUCAGUCGAGGCUUUAGUCCUUUGAGAAUCAGACCAUUCGCUCUCUCAGCUUGUCCAUUCGACUGGGGAUGAGCGACCGAUGCGUAGUCGACUCGUGUGCCUUGAGAGGCGCAAAAAGCUCUGAACUUGUCCGAAUGAAAGUUUGACCCGUUGUCAGUGAUGAUGCUAUGCGGGACUCCAUAUCUGAAUGUUAACCCUCUGACGAAACUGAUAGCAAUGCAAGCAUCGAGAUUCUUGAUGGGCUUAGCUUCGAUCCAUUUGGUAAAUUUGUCGACUGCCACAAGCACAUGAGUGAAUCCACUCCUGCCCGUUCUUAGUGGACCAACCAUGUCCAGUCCCCAGACGGCAAAGGGCCAGAUGAGUGGAAUGGUCUUCAUGGCUGAUGCAGGCUUGUGUGACAUGUUGGAGUAGAACUGGCACCCUCCACACUUGUCGACUAUCUCUUUUGCCAUCUCAUUUGCUCUUGGCCAGUAAAAUCCGGCUCGGUAUGCUUUAGCCACAAUAGUCUGAGAGGACGCAUGGUGACCACAGGUCCCCGAGUGGAUAUCAUUAAGGAUUAUCUGACCCUCUUCUGGUGUUAUGCAUUUCUGACCGACUCCAGUCGCGCUCUCUCUAUACAGCUGUCCCUUUAUGACUGUGAAGGCCUUGGAUCGGCGGACGAUCUGUCGAGCCUCUUCCUUGUCUUCCGGGAGUUCUUUCCUUAGGAUAUACGCGAUGUACGGUAUCGUCCAGUCAGGGGUGAUUGCCAAGACUUCCAUGAUUAGGUCGACCACUGCAGGUACUUCAACUUCAGUCGGAUCUGUGGCACUUUUCGGCUGCGGGGCUUCUUCUGUGAAAAGAUCCUCUUGGAUUGACGGCGAGUGAAUGUGUUCCAGGAACACGUUGCUGGGAAUGGCUUCUCUCUUGGAGCCUAUCUUUGCCAAAUCGUCAGUUGCCUGAUUUUUCAGUCGGGGGAUGUGAUGAAGCUCUAACCCCUCGAAUUUCUUUUCUAGCUUUCGCACUGCAUUGCAAUACCCAGUCAUUGCCGGACUCCUGACGUCCCACUCCUUCAUCACUUGAUUAACCACCAAAUCUGAGUCGCCAUAGACCAUGAGGCGACGGACGCCGAGUGAAAUGGCCAUGCGCAACCCAUACAAAAGUGCUUCAUACUCUGCUUCAUUAUUGGAGGAAUCAAAGCGAAUCUGGAGAACAUAUCUGAGCUUAUCUCCUCGGGGGGAGACUAGGACUACCCCCGCGCCCGAACCAUUCAGCAUCUUGGAUCCAUCGAAGAACAUGGUCCAGUGCUCCGAGUGAACUUGAGUCGGAAGUUGCUGUUCAAUCCACUCGGCGAUGAAAUCUGCGAUUGCUUGGGACUUGAUAGCCUUCUUUGCUUCAAACUUGAUAUCUAAGGGAAGGAGUUCAAUCGCCCACUUGGCCACUCAACCAGUUGCGUCUCUGUUAUGCAGGAUCUCUGAUAAUGGGGCGUCGCUGACGACUGUAAUGGAGUGGUCAGAGAAGUAAUGUGCAACUUUCUUCAUGGUCAUAUAAAUCCCAUAUACAAGCUUCUGGUAGUGAGGGUAUCUUUGUUUUGAAGGGGUCAAAACUUCAGACACAUAAUAUACUGGGCGUUGAACUUUGAAGGCCUUUCCUUCCUCUUCCCGCUCGACCGUAAGCAUUGUACUGACAACUUGUCCCGUGGCUGCAAUUUAAAGCAGCAGAGGCUCUUUGCUGAUUGGGGCAGCAAGCACCGGCUGGGUGGAGAGCAGAGCUUUGAGCUCUGCAAACGCUGCAUCAGCUUCUGGAGUCCACUCGAACUUGUCAGACUUCUUCAUCAGUCGGUAAAGAGGCAACGCCUUUUCACCGAGACGAGAAAUGAAUCGACUUAAAGCGGCCAAGCAGCCUGUAAGCUUUUGGACAUCGUGCACGCGUACAGGACGCUUCAUCCGGAGUAUGGUGCCAAUUUUUUCAGGAUUGGCGUCGAUCCCCCAUUCGGAAACAAGAAAACCGAGUAACUUUCCACCUGGAACUCCGAAAGUGCACUUUGAUGGAUUGAGCUUGAUAUCAUACCUCCUGAGGUUGGCAAAGGUUUCAGCAAGGUCAGCCCGUAGGUCGGAACCUUUCCAGGAUUUGACCACAAUAUUAUCCAUGUAUGCCUCCACAUUCCGACUGAUUUGAGUGAGUAAACACUUCUGAAUCAUUCUCAUGAAUGUGGCUCCAGUGUUCUUGAGGCUGAACGGCAUGGUGACGUAACAGAAGCAUCCGAAUGGAGUGAUGAAAGCUGUUUUGAUCUCGUCGGGCCCAUACAGACGGAUCUGAUGGUACCCGGAAUAGGCAUCUAGAAAAGACAAUCUCUCGCACCCCGCAGUUGAGUCGACUAUUUGGUCGAUGCGAGGGAGAGGAAAAUGAUCUUUCGAGCAGGCCCGGUUGAUAUGUUUGAAAUCAAUGCACAUGCGGAGUGACUUGUCCUUCUUGGGGACCAUGACUACAUUGGCGAGCCACUCAGAGUGGUAAAUCUCUCGGAUGAAUUCUGCUGCUAAGAGCCGAGCCACCUCCUCGCCAAUGGCUUGCUUCUUCUGGACGGCGGACCGUCGAAGAUGUUCCUUCACAGGCUUGAAUUUUGGGUCGACUCGUAGACGGUGCUCAGCCAGCCCCCUGGGAACUCCAGGCAUGUCAGAGGGUUUCCAUGCGAAGAUGUCCCAGUUCUCAUGGAUGAGCUGGAUGAGUGCUUCUUCCUAUUUGGAGUCGAGCGUCGUCGAGAUGUGAGUCGGAGCAGCGUCGGGGUCGGUCGGGUGAAUGUGGACUGUCUUUGUUUCACCAGCCGACUGAAAAGCUGACUCAGAGGCAGGCUUCUUAGCUCGCAGCAAUUCACUCGGAUCGGCAGUCUUUUGGUACUCUUUCAGCUCGACCACUGCCAUCUGAGCAUCAGUGAUCUUUGAUCCCUUCUGAAAACACUCUUCUGCUUUCUUUCGGUUGCCCGUAACAGUGAUCACACCCUUGGGGCCAGGCAUCUUCAAUUUGAGAUAUACGUAACAUGGUCGAGCCAUGAAGUGUGCGUAAGCUAGCCUGCCCAAAAUGGCGUGAUAAGCACUCUGGAAGUCCACAACCUCAAAUGUCAACUUUUCCUUGCGGUAAUUCUUUGAAUCACCAAAAACCACAUCAAGAGCAAUCUGGCCGAGUGACUCGGCUUUCUUCCCAGGAAUGACUCCGUGGAAGCUCAUGUUACUGGUACUGAGUCUGGACAUCGGAAUGCCCAUUCCUUUCAAAGUUUCAGCAUACAGUAUGUUCAGGCCACUGCCGCCAUCGAUCAAGACUUUGGUCAGUCGAGUGCCUUCGACAACUGGGUCGACCACCAAAGCUUGCCUCCCUGGGGUGGCAAUGUGCGUCGGGUGAUCGGACUGGUCGAAUGUGAUGGCAGUCUGAGACCACUUCAGGUAACUGGGUGUUGCCGGAGCAACCAUGUUCACCUCACGGUUAAUGACUUUCAGUCGACUUUUGCUUUCGACAUCAGCAAAAAUCAUCAAGGUGGAAUUGACUUGGGGGUAUCCAUCGUCACUAUCAUCCUUGUCCUCAACUCUGUCUGGCUCUUUUUCCUUAUCUUUGGGCUGCUUGCUCCGAAACUGCUGGAUCAGGAUCCGACACUGUCGAGUGGUAUGUUUUGGGAAAAUAAAAUUACCCUCUUCAUCUUUCUUGGUGUGGAUGUGACAUGGCAGGUCCAAAACAUCAUUCCCAUCCUGAUCCUUAACUUUCUUGGGCUUCCAGGUGCCCUUGGGUUUCCCCUUGAAGUUUCCCUGGGCCACGGCCAGGGCUUCCCCAGGAGCGGCUGGCUCGGCCUUCCGCUUCUGCUUCCGACUGGAGUUUCCUCCGGUUUCUUGGGCGACUGAUUUGAGUUUGCCACUUCGGAGUCGGUCUUCAUCUUCACCAUUAGCGUACUUGGUGGCAAUCUCCAUCAUCCGAUUCAGCGACAUCUCUCCAGUUCGAACGAACUUCAGAUUCAACUCUCUGUAUUUGACGCCUUCCUUGAAAGCACAAACUGCUUGAUGGUCUGGCACAUUCUCAACCGAGUGGUGCAGUGUGAUCCACCUCUGGAUGUAUUCCCUCAGUGUUUCAUUUGGCUUCUGCACGCAAGACCGCAACUCUGUAAGGCCUGCAGGUCGCUUGCAUGUUCCUUCGAAGGUUGUGAUAAACACUCGGGAGAGGUCCUCCCAAGUGUAAAUACUGCUGGGUGCCAACUGAUUCAGUCACGCUCUGGCUGAGCCUUCUAACAUGAGAGGCAAAUGCUUCAUGGCCACCUCAUCAUUGCCACCGCCAAUCUGUACAGCCACUCGGUAAUCUUCGAGCCAUGUGUCGGGCUUGGAUUCACCGCUGAACUUGCUGACUCCAGUCGCCAGCUUGAAGUUGGGAGGAAUCACCGUGGCCCUGAUGGCUCGACUGAAACAUUCUGGCCCUGAAGCAUGUACCCUGCUGCCGGCGGGUGCAUCUCUGUUGUGGCCCUCUCGAUGAGCUCUGUUCCUGUCCACCAAACCUUGAAUGAGGAUGGAUCUCGCGUCAAAGCCUGGGUCCCUGGGGUCGACUGGAAUCCUCUGCCCAACAUUAUGGGGGCGCCUGUCAUCUCGAUGUCGAGGCGCAUAUGACCCACUCCUCGGGGGAGGGGAUGGCACUCGACGUCGAUCAUCACGGUCGGGUCGGUGAUCAUACUGCUCAUUUCUCCUGUACUGAUCGUGCCGGUCCCCACGUCCCUCACACCUCAGGGGCGAUCUCGGGCUGUGAGCCGACUGGACUGUUUCUGUUGCAACGGAUCGACUGUGGAUCCUGUUCCGCGACCGAGAAAUGGCGGAAUUCUGAUUUCCUGCCGCUCGGAGCAACGCUCUGAUCUGCAACAAGCCCCUGCCAGCCUCCGACUGGGAAGGCUGAAUUGACUCCGCUAUGCGGGCCGCGGCGGCCAAAUUCUGAACUGGAGUUUGGUAUACCUGCGGCGGCGGGAAGAGCUGACGUCGACUGGAUUCGGGAGCUUGCUGUCGUCGACUGGACUCGGGAGCUCACUGACGCGCUUGCUCGUCGAGUAUUCGCUGUAGAUUCUCAAGUCGAGUGCGCUCGUCCAGGUUAGCCAAGCGCGCGUCCUCCAAGGCCCGGGCCUCGGGGGUUUCUCCAACAAUAGGAGUGUAGAGCGCGUCCAUGUUCCGGCGGCGAAGCUCCUCUCGCUGCAAUGACGUGAGAGGUUCAGGGAGGUACUCGUCGUGGGGAUGCGACGGGUCGCCUCUAUCCGCGCCGCCGUCAGCGCGAGGGAAUCCAGGAGGACUGUGUGUCCCCUCGACCGCCAGAACCUCAGCCAAAGGGUCGCUGCUAUCGCACUCGGAUGCGGUCUCCGCGGAGCCAGUCGAACAGGCCGUAGAGGGAUUCGUCGGGCUCGAUUGCCGCGACUUGUGGGGCCGCCGACUGGCGGGCCACGGCGUGCCUCACCCACCGUUGGAGUCUCGACCGACCUGAGUGCUCGCGCUGGUGGGAGACAGAGCGGGGAGACGACACGGGGGCCGACCGAUAUUGGGUCGACGGCUGCCGCAGGAGGACGCCACGAAUGCACGCGCAGAAGUGCGUCGCACCGCGGACGGGGAGCGCGUCGAUGUCGAGCGGCGCCUCCUAGAGUCAGGCGGAGUCAUUGGCGAUGAAGGUGAGCGCGCCGAGAUGGAUCUCGCGGCCCUCUACCAAAACUCCACAGGAAACCAUGAUCAAAUGGAUCGGAAAAUUCGCAACUUCUCCAAUUAGGCGCUAAGACUAAUGCCCCACGGUGGGCGCCAACUGUCGUGGUUCUAAGUCUGACAGUAAUGUAGGGGGGCUGUGUAUGGAGAGACUAGAUCUUAGCUAUUGGGAAGUUGUAAGCACGCAAGGUUUACGAGUUCAGGCCCUUCUCGGAGGAAGUAACAGCCCUACGUCUCGGUGCCCGGAGGCGGUCGAUUGGAUUAUGCGUGUGUAGAUAACAAGGGUGCGAACCCUUCAUACUAAGGAGGGGGGUGGCUUAUAUAGAGUUCGCCGGCCCCCUCCUGCCCUCAGUAAUGCAGGGUUUUAGGUACAUUUAAGGUUGGGCGUUACUGAUAACGUCCCUAAUAAAGUGUUAUAAUAACCAUAAAGACUACUUAAUAGCCGACCGUUUGCCUGCGGAGUGAAUUUAGGUCUUCUGGUAGUCGAGUGGCCGGCUUCAUGGUCGAGUGAUAGUUCUUUGGUCGAGUGUCUUGAACCCGUCGAGUGGGAUGCCUUCAAGUCGUUUGAAAGGUGACUCAUUCUAGGGAUGUCCUUGGGUAGGGCUUUUUAGGACGGGUUCGUGCCCCUACCCUAGGUACAUAGCUUCAUCAUCAGGUUGUUCGGCUUGAUCCUUCGUGUUGUCGUGGUCCAGCAUUUGUUCCCCCUGCUCUAACGUUGGGUCUGUAUGAUCGUUGUUUCUGUCGAGGCGGGAUUUGGAGCGGCGUUUACGCCGCCGCUUUGACUGCUUCUCGAGGGGACAAACCUUUGUUGCGUCCUUCCAUUCCUCGUCGUCGUUUUCUUUUGGUGUGUUCACCAUGUAUACGUCAUGUGGCGAAGUGGGCGUCCAGUGCCCCGUGGGCAGUGGUUCCUCUACGUCUCCCACAUCGUCGUCCAUACCGUCGAUGUCUUCGGAGUCGAAGUCGAGCAUGUUGGUUAAUUCAUCGACAGUGGCUACUAAGUGGGUGGUGGGUGGGCCGCGAAUUUCUUCGUCGUCCGCAUCCCAGUCCUGCCGGACAUAGUUUGGCCAGGAUCCUCCUGACAAGGAGAGAGACCUUAAUGAGUUCAGUAUGUUGCCAAAGGGCGAGUGCUGAAAAAUAUCCGCGGAGGUAAACUCCAUGAUCGGCGCCCAAUCGGAUUCGAUAGGAACGGGCGCAAGCGGUUCGGAGUCCGUGUCCGGAGAAGGAUCCGACAGUUUAACAACAUGGCUCUCGUGCAAGGUAAGGUUGAUGUUUGGCUCGAUCGCUGCUAAGGGUAAGGCUUCCGUGGCGGGGUCCAUCCACCCAUCCACGGAAGGCGCACCUGGCUCCAAAUUGAGGGUCGGAGCGGCUGCCUGUGCGAUCUCUUGAACACUAUCCGAUGGUAGAGCUAAAUCGUACUCAUCGUGACCGCGUGACGCACAAGGCAGAGGCUCGAAUCCGUCGAGGAUCGAGUCUCCACGGAUAUCGGCCAUGUAGUUCAAGAUUCCAAACCUGACAUGGUGGCUAGGGGCGUAACUUUCAAUCUGCUCCAGAUGGCCAAGUGAAUUGGCCCGCAGUGCAAAGCCGCCGAACACAAAGAUCUGUCCGGGGAGAAAAGUCUCACCCUGGACUGCAUCGCCAUCGAUGAUAGUAGGAGCCAUCAAGCCUAACGGCGACGACACAGAGGAACUCUCAAUGAAAGCACCAAUGUCGGUGUCAAAACCGGCGGAUCUUGGGUUGGGGGUCCCGAACUGUGCGUCUAAGGUGGAUGGUAACAGGAGGCAGGGGACACAAUGUUUUACCCAGGUUCGGGCCCUCUUGAUGGAGGUAAAACCCUACGUCCUGCUUGAUUAAUAUUGAUGAUAUGGGUAGUACAAGAGUAGAUCUACCACGAGAUCGGAGAGGCUAAACCCUAGAAGCUAGCCUAUGGUAUGAUUGUAUGUUGUCCUACGGACUAAAACCCUCCGAUUUAUGUAGACACCGGAGAGGGCUAGGGUUACACAAGGUCGGUUACAAAGGAGGAGAUAUACAUAUCCGUAUUGCCUAGCUUGCCUUCCACGCCAAGUAGAGUCCCAUCCGGACCCGAGACGAAGUCUUCAAUCUUGUAUCUUCAUAGUCUAACAGUCCGGCCAAUGGAGAUAGUCCGGCUGUCCGGAGACCCCUAAUCCAGGACUGCCACAAUAUGCAAAUGAUCUUUUGAGAAGAGUUGGUCUGCAGAAUUGUAAACCAUCACCAAUUCCACUAUCCAGUUCAGAAAAGUUGUCUCUUGCAGAAGGAGAACUCUUGGAUCAAGAGGAUAGCACAAGGUACAGAAGUAUGGUUGGUGCACUUCAGUAUUUGACUUUGACUAGACCAGAUAUUUCCUUUGCUAUGAACAAAGUUUGUCAAUUUCUUCAUGCACCCACAACAUCGCACUGGACAGCUGCCAAACGCAUACUUAGAUAUGUGAAGAGUACUUUGAAUCUUGGCUUAACUUUUAACAAGUCACCAUCCACACUUGUGAGUGCUUUUUCUAAUUCUGAUUGGGCUGGUUGUCCAGAUGAUAGAAGGUCUACAGGUGGUUUUGCUAUAUUCCUUGGACCCAAUCUCAUCUCAUGGUGUGCAAAGAAGCAAGCCACGGUAUCCAGGUCAAGUACCGAAGCAGAAUACAAGGCUUUGGCUAAUGCAAUGGCAGAGAUCAUAUGGGUUAAAUCCAUGCUUAAGGAACUUGGCAUAUACAAUUCUCAAACCCCUUGUCUUUGGUGUGAUAACGUUGGUGCUACGUAUCUCUCAGCUAACCCUGUUUUUCAUGCAAGGACCAAACAUAUUGAAAUUGAUUAUCAUUUUGUGAGGGAAAGAGUUGCAAGCAAAGAGCUAGAGAUACGGUUUGUUCACUCAAAGGAUCAAGUUGUGGAUGGUUUUACUAAAGCACUUCCCACGAGGGCGUUUGAAGAAUUUAAACGUAAUCCUAACUUGGUGAAGUUCUGAUUAUGGGAGGGUGUUAAGAAUAUAUGUUCAGGAGGUUAUGCGCCAUAUCUAUUGGCUGUUAUUGUAACUAGAGAUUAGUCUAGAUCUUUCUUAUCUCUAUCUUAAACCUCCUGUAUAUC